rnacentral:tRNA from 1 species
GGUUUUGGCUCAGUGGUAGAGUGCUUGCCUCACAUGUGUGAGGCACUCAGUUCAAUCCUCAGCACCA